GCCCGGCUGGCUCAGUCAGUGGAGCGUGCGACUCUUGAUCUCGAGGUUGUGAGUUUGAGCCCCACGAUGGGUG
rnacentral:tRNA from 1 species